CCGGCGAACGGGUGCGUAACACGGUGAGCAACCUACCGAAAUGAGGGGGAUAGCCGUCCCAACGGACGGGUAAUACCGCAUACGCUCUUUUUCAGGCAUUUGGAGAAGAGGAAACCUCCGGGGCAUUUCGAGGGGCUCGGCGGCCUAUCAGCUAGUUGGUGAGGGUAACGGCUCACCAAGGCGACGACGGGUAGCUGGUCUGAGAGGAUGGCCAGCCACAUUGGGACUGAGAUACGGCCCAG
rnacentral:rRNA from 1 species